ensembl:snoRNA SNORD15 Small nucleolar RNA SNORD15
CUUCGGUGAAGAGGUGAUGACGAGUCUGUCGAGGAGCUGUUCUCUUUGCCCAGUGCUGCGUUCUGUGGCUAUGGCCAAAGGAACCUCCUAAUGAUGACUUGUAGGCAUUUGUCUGAGAAGG